rnacentral:rRNA from 1 species
UACGGGGGGGGCAAGCGUUGUUCGGAAUUACUGGGCGUAAAGCGUGCGCAGGCGGUUUUGUAAGUCAGAUGUGAAAUCCCCGGGCUCAACCUGGGAACUGCGUUUGAAACUACAAGGCUAGAGUGUAGCAGAGGGGGGUGGAAUUCCACGUGUAGCAGUGAAAUGCGUAGAGAUGAUGGAGGAACACCGAUGGCGAAGGCAGCCCCCUGGGUUAACACUGACGCUCAGGCACGAAAGCGUGGGGAGCAAACAGG